rnacentral:rRNA from 1 species
CGCGCAGGCGGGCUUGUAAGUCAGGCGUGAAAACUAUCGGCUCAACUGAUAGAUUGCGUUUGAGACUGCAGGUCUUGAGUACGGGAGAGGAAGGUGGAACUCUGCGUGUAGCGGUGAAAUGCGUAGAUAUGCAUAGGAACACCAGUGGCGAAGGCGGCCUUCUAGCCCGAUACUGACGCUGAGGCGCGAAAGCGUGGGGAGCAAACAGGAUUAGAUACCCUGGUAGUCCACGCUGUAAACGAUGGGCACUAGGUGUUGGAGGUAUUGACCCCUUCAGUGCCGUAGCUAACGCAUUAAGUGCCCCGCCUGGGGAGUACGCUCGCAAGGGUGAA